AGUCGAACGCUUUUUCUUUCACCGGAGCUUGCUCCACCGAAAGAAAAAGAGUGGCGAACGGGUGAGUAACACGUGGGUAACCUGCCCAUCAGAAGGGGAUAACACUUGGAAACAGGUGCUAAUACCGUAUAACAAGUAAAACCGCAUGGUUUUACUUUGAAAGGCGCUUUUGCGUCACUGAUGGAUGGACCCGCGGUGCAUUAGCUAGUUGGUGAGGUAACGGCUCACCAAGGCAACGAUGCAUAGCCGACCUGAGAGGGUGAUCGGCCACAUUGGGACUGAGACACGGCCCAAACUCCUACGGGAGGCAGCAGUAGGGAAUCUUCGGCAAUGGACGAAAGUCUGACCGAGCAACGCCGCGUGAGUGAAGAAGGUUUUCGGAUCGUAAAACUCUGUUGUUAGAGAAGAACAAGGAUGAGAGUAAAAUGUUCAUCCCUUGACGGUAUCUAACCAGAAAGCCACGGCUAACUACGUGCCAGCAGCCGCGGUAAUACGUAGGUGGCAAGCGUUGUCCGGAUUUAUUGGGCGUAAAGCGAGCGCAGGCGGUUUCUUAAGUCUGAUGUGAAAGCCCCCGGCUCAACCGGGGAGGGUCAUUGGAAACUGGGAAACUUGAGUGCAGAAGAGGAGAGUGGAAUUCCAUGUGUAGCGGUGAAAUGCGUAGAUAUAUGGAGGAACACCAGUGGCGAAGGCGGCUCUCUGGUCUGUAACUGACGCUGAGGCUCGAAAGCGUGGGGAGCAAACAGGAUUAGAUACCCUGGUAGUCCACGCCGUAAACGAUGAGUGCUAAGUGUUGGAGGGUUUCCGCCCUUCAGUGCUGCAGCUAACGCAUUAAGCACUCCGCCUGGGGAGUACGACCGCAAGGUUGAAACUCAAAGGAAUUGACGGGGGCCCGCACAAGCGGUGGAGCAUGUGGUUUAAUUCGAAGCAACGCGAAGAACCUUACCAGGUCUUGACAUCCUUUGACCACUCUAGAGAUAGAGCUUCCCCUUCGGGGGCAAAGUGACAGGUGGUGCAUGGUUGUCGUCAGCUCGUGUCGUGAGAUGUUGGGUUAAGUCCCGCAACGAGCGCAACCCUUA
rnacentral:rRNA from 1 species